GCAGUCACUCGUGGCUGCAAAUACCCUCCUUGGGUGUUUCCUCCCUAGACUUGACCGCGCCGCUGGCGCGGUUCUUUUU
rnacentral:sRNA from 1 species